GUGCUGGCGGGCGACCGGAGCUAAGCGCAGCCCCCGCCGCUCCGACGCCAUGGAGCCGCCUGGCUCGUAACUUUAAUUCGGGGCUUGGCUUGGGGCCUUUAUAGAAACCAUCGCGGAAGCGGUGGGUUGGGAUCGCUAUGUCGCUGCCGAUGCUGCAGAGUAACAGUGGGUUGAUGCGGAGGAUCCUGGCCCAUUUCCCCCGGGAUCUGAGCCUGGCCUUCGCCUAUGGUUCCGGCCUGUUCGGACAGACAGGACACACAGGCCCAAGAAACAAUAUGCUGGAUUUUGUCUUUGCUGUGGAUGAUCCUGUGACAUGGCAUACGAUGAAUAUCAUGAAAAACCCCAGACAUUACUCAUUUUUAAGGUUUUUUGGACCAAAACAUGUUAGUAAAAUACAGAAUAAUUAUGGAGCUGGAAUAUAUUACAAUACCUUAGUGCCGUGUGAUGACAGGAUAAUCAAGUAUGGAGUCAUCAGUACAGGAACUCUGAUUGAAGAUCUUCUUCAUUGGAAAAAUUUAUACAUUGCUGGAAGACUGCACAAGCCUGUGAAGAUAUUAAUCCAAAAUGAAAAUGGCAAAUUGCAAAAUGCACUGGCUAAGAACCUGAAAAGUGCAGUGAUCACAGCAUUUCUUAUGCUGCCAGAAUCAUUUACAGAGGAGGAGCUCUACGUUCGUAUUGCUGGACUCUCGUACUCUGGUGAUUUUCGAAUGAUUAUUGGAGAAGACCGAUCAAAAGUAAUGAAUAUUGUUACUGCAAACAUGGAAAACUUCCAUAGACUAUACAACAACAUUUUGCAGGAGUGCCCUCAAGUGGUCUACAAGCAGCAAUUGGGUAAAUUAGAGCUUGAUAAAAGUCCAGAAGGUCAAUUCAAUCAGUUGAUGGCUUUGCCUAGAACUCUUCAACAAGAGAUAACUCGUUUAGUAGACCAACCAGGGAAAAAUAGAGAUGUUGAGGAGAUCUUGCUUCAAGUAGCCCAGGACCCAGACUGUGGAUUACUAAUACAACAAAGUGUAGCAGGUAUCGUAAAGUCCUCAAGUAUGACCCAAAGCGCAAAAGGAAUUCUUACUGCUGGUAUGAAAAAGACAGUUACAUAUAGCAUGAAGAAGCUGCAUAAAAUGUGGAGAGGUUGGAGAAGAAAAUCAUCCUAACAUUCACCAACUAUUAUUUAAAUUAUAUUUGAAAAAGGCAUUUUUUUAAAAAAUCAUGCUAGCUGAGCUUUCAUCAGUGACUGGGAUUCUUUAUAAAAUAUUAAAUGCAUGUUUGCAUCAACUUUAUAUUGAGAGGAGGUUACUCCUACUGCAAGUCAAUGUAAUUAACAAGUAUUUUGGAAACAAUUUUACUGGUAAAUAUUUGAUGAAGACAAGUACUAUUUAUGAUUUGCAAUAUUCAGCAUUAUAGUUCCAUUGAACUUUGUAAAUGUGUACAUUUUGCAAGUCUUAGAUGAUUAAUCGUCAAAGGGUUAAUUAGGAUCCAAUCUCGUUGGAAAUGUGCAGAACCCUCCAGAUCCCUGUGAGCUACAGAAGUUCCACUUAAAAGAUUGCAUUCUCCUUGAUUAUGGACUGACUUGUGAGUACCUGGACAUCAGUAGGAAGAAAUCACAUUUCCAAGAACUGGCACCAGCAUUGUGAAUGAGCCAUAAUAAAAAUAGGAAGUGCUGGAAAAGUAUGUGUCUGUACCCUCCACUUUCUGAGAAAUAUUGUUAAAUUUUGAGUUUUUUUUAUUUCCAACUUACAUCAUAUGCAGCAUUUUGCUUCUAUUUUUCUACUAAUGAGCCAACUGGUUAAUGAAUAUCUUAUGUUUCCUGAAGAUAUGUUGACUGUUUUGCCCAGUCACUGGACAAUUAUGUCUACUGCGGAUUGAUUUUGUUUUGCUAGUUCCAUCUGUCAGUUAUCGUCUUGGAGCAGGCUAACUUAUGUCCACAAACAUGUUGCUCAAGUUUCAUUUCUUCUCCCAAGUGGCUAGUUAUUAAUUGGAGAAUGUCCAUCACUAAGAUCAAAUGUAUUAAUAAGCUUGGGGUCAGGAUAUCUUAGAUGUCUGAGCUUGAUUGAAUCAAGCAGUGAUUUUUGCCUCAACAUACCACUAGAUUCCUGCUGGUGGCGGUGUUGGGCAGUGACAGCCAAAUGCCUUGCCAAAUUAGAUCUAUAACACAGUGAAGUUCAGUUUUUCCUUGCAACUUUUACAAGCAUUUGGAGUAUCCCUGGUUAUACUAGUAUCCUUAAAAUUGUAAAUUUAAUACUGUAUACCUAGAGCAAUGCAUAGUUGCAUGGAGAUGUGGAUUAAUAUGGCCUGAUGUGUAGGCAUAAUUGGAUUUAGUGUCUCAGAAACCAUUAAAGUAAGUGAUCUGGUAUUUUAGUCUAUUUUAAUAAAAGUAAACAGUUUCUGCAGCAUUUUCUGUGUUUGUUAUAGUAUAUUUUACACUGUAUCACUAUCCAUAUACCAUUUUGGAUUUGUUUGGCAUUGUCCCAUUUGUUUAAAAACAUUGCACUGAAAGGGCCAGAAUGAUCGAGUUAUUUAUUCAUAUAUCUAAUCUACUUACAGUUUUUGAGCUAUUACAUCUGCUUAAGGUAUCAAACAUAUGACAAAAAAAGCGGUUAUUUAUUCAUGGCUUGAAUCCAAAAGAUUUGCAAGCACAUUUCAAUUUUAUUUACAGUUCAGUGGAAGAAGUUGCUUGACCUUAUUGUAUAUUAUUCUACAAUAGAGCUCUAGUUAAGUGAACCAUGAUACAUUGAAUGUAAGAUGGUGUAAUGCUCAUGCCCUUAAAACAUUGUUCACAUAAAGUUAUGUGGUAAUGCAGUUUACAUUGUAUUGUAACAUAUCUGAAAAUAAAAGAAUUACUGUGAAGGAGCAACCAAUGUUAAAUGUUCUUUUUUUUAAACAGCUUCUGAUGGACGAUUUAUUCACCAAAGUGUGCAAAUUCCCAUUUCUUCUUUCUUGAUCCAUUAAUAUUGCUAAGUAAGAUAUCUUUUCUAUUCUUUCUUUCUGUGCAAGGAAAAAUAUUUUGGUGAACUGGGUAGCUGAGGGCCCCCCUGGACUUU